rnacentral:rRNA from 1 species
UACAAACAUAAGACGAGAAGACCCCGUGGAGCUUAAAAUUAACCACUAACUUUUAUGUCCUAGUAUUUUAUUUUAAGUUGGGGCGACUUCGGAAUAAAACAAAACUUCCGAGCACAGAACCACACCUUCCAACCAAGGCCAACAAGCCAAACAAAACCGACCCGGCCGAGCCGACUAACGAACCAAGUUACCCCGGGGAUAACAGCGCUAUCUUCUUCAAGAGUCCCUAUCAACAAGAA